GCGUCACAUACGGUUUUGCGAUGACAUCAUCGCGAUCUAUUUUUAAAAUCGAUCUUGGUUAAACUUUAACCACUAAAAGUAGACCUUAUAUAGACUACAAAACCGAGGUAUAAAUCUUUACAAGGACAUGUCCUCAUGUCUGGCGUAUUGUGGGAAACCAAGCGAUUCUGAGUUUAGCAGAAAUUUUCACCACGCAAAGGCCACUCCGAAUGUACCUCUAUCCCCGGAUUUGAGAUGUGCAGUAUCAGCGCUUGCAGCCUGGUCAGCGGUAAGGAUGGGGAUCGAUCAUUUCAUGUGUGACGGGUAUUCCAAAUAAAAAACAACAACAACUCCAACUAGACACGGAAAAAAACAAGCAGGAAAUAAAAUCCGCUACCUCCCGCACCAAAGGUCGGUCCUUUAGGCGGCAUCAUGAGCAGAGCGUUGCCGGUGCGUGUUGGGACAUCUUGUGGAAUAAAGGGCUUGGGAGUGGUCUGAUGAGUGUUUCACUCGUCAAGAUGCAGCGGCUGUCCCCCGGCCGGAAACAAACGGAAGUACAGGCUACAAAGAACUCCCACUUGGAAAUGGAUUAUUAGCGUAACUCAACACCUAGGAAUCACAGACAUUAUUGCGCAGAGUCCCGCGCUGAGCCGGUAAGGCAUGUGUUCUAAAGACGGAACUAAAUACUCGGAUGAUUUGGGUUCAUAGCUCAUCUGUGAUACUUACUAGGGAUCUGAAACGCUCGGUGUGCAGAUGACAGGUCAUCGAAUUACAACGUAUUAUAAGAACAGCUCACAAGUCAUAUGUAAGACACGUACUUAAUGUCUCUCACACUUGCUUUCGGAUGCUUUGAGAAGUGAGACGUAUGUGAAAAGCACUGUUGUAAAUAGGCCUAAUUAGCAAAGGGCGCGUACAUGUCACACGAGUCGUGUCAACUGUAGAACUGUCUCGCUUUCCUUCAGGGGCGGACCAUUUUACUUUUGAGGGGGGGGGGAUUUCGAAAAAAAAAUUAUCCUGCAAGCUACAUUUCAAAGAAAAAAAAUUGCAUGCAAAGCAAACGAGCAGAAAGCAAAUUCAUGCACAAGUUUAAGAAAAAAAAAAUUGCAAAACCAUUGUGUGGAAAGAUGAACUCUAUAAAAUAGAAUUUCUAUAAAAUAGAAUUAAAAUUCUGUGAUAACUUUGAUGUUUUUUACUCUAUAAAACGUUUUUCUCUAUUUUUUUGAUAUGUGUAUUUUGUAUUUCUUCUCAAAAUAUUGUUGAAAGUUUCUAUUGGUUGAGACUCGCCCUUUCCUUAUAAAGUUGUCUGGUCUUCUCCUAUCAGAUAAAACUAGUUCCGGGCUAGUUCCAAUGGUUUUAUUUUAAAAUUACAUUCUGAAGAAAAACAAAAGUGCUCAUUUCUGAAGAAUUUUCAAUGAUGAUUGCUAUAAUGCCCUAUAAUGCAAUCAUUUUAGAAAUAAAUACCCAAAAGUUAACUUGUACGGACAGAAGUCAUAUAUACUAUACUAUAUAUAUAUACAGGCGGAGAUACCAACCAUCGAUUAUAAUUCAGGAGAUGGGAUCUAUAUAAAUGCUUGCCCCCUAAAAAUGUCAUUGUUUUGUGGAAUAUUUCAACAGAACCUUAAAAAACAUUCUAACAAAUGUUUCAAAGAAGCUUCUCUUUUUUGGCUAUUUUAUCUGACUCAAUAUGCAAGGUAAGAGCUUGAUAGCGAAGACUCGUUUGGCUAUGACACGAAGGUCUUACCAUGUAUAAUCCCUAUAUCUAGUAAGUUUAUUGAAUUAUAAUUUUAAUCUAUUCAAAGGUCAAAUAGUAUGAAACACAACGUACGGAGUUCUAUAUUAGUGAUAUGAUAUGGGCUCCAAGAAAAAAAAAAGUCCUGCAUAGCAGUACAUGGGGAAAAAAUCCUGCACAUCCGAUGGGCGAAAAAAAAAUUCUUGAAGACAUAAAAUCACCCCCCCCCCCCCCUAAAAAAAAAUGGUCAGCCCCUUAAAACUGCCUAGAACUGCGUCUAGGGUGGUGAGAUAUAAUAUGGAGAGAAAAAGGCUGAAAAACAUUUUAAUAAAAAUAAAAAUUUUAAUAAAAAUAAAAAUUUUAAUAUACAUAUUAAAAUAUGUCCCUGAAGCACAAGACACACCCCCUAGACAUGAUGUGGUUGAUUGGGUGUAUUUUCUGUACCUUCAUGAGCUUCAGAAAGGGAACCCAUUGCAUAGGUCGCUACUUUAUACGAGCGCGCGCAAUAUUUGUUUGUUUGGACUUAUACCGUAUCAUUUCAAAUUCAGUUAACUGUGUACUGGAUUACAAGCGGGUCAUUAUAAAAAAAAUGUAAAAGUCUUCUAUGUUUACAUUCCGCGCAAGCCGGGUAAUAUUGUUUUGACAUGAAGCCUGAUUCGAACCGUUCAUUUUUUUAAAAUGAACAAGAGAAGUUUGAAAAAGCCACAUGAUGCUGGAUGGAAUUCUUAAAGGGGGUCACAAUACCAAUUGUGUAGGUUUUGACAUAAUUUUUCACCCUAUGUCCGUGGUGCAUUUGGCGUGUUAAUUUUUUUUCUGAUGAUAUUUUUUGACAUGAUCAAUAGUAUUUUUUUUUCUUCUGUAUACCGUCAGUAAAUAUCCGCAAGCAAAAAUGAUUUCCAACCUAUUUGAAGUGAAGAUUAUACAAUGUUUUUCAAUCAUUUCUUUAACAACAACACAAAGGCACACAGCGGUAAUGAUGCAUUUGAGAGCGCACGACAAUAAGCAAACAGUGAACCAGCACAGUGUACUGGCAGCUAGUGACGUCAUGGAACGACAUACAAAAA